GGGCCCGUAGUUGAGUGGCUAAAACGCCUGUCUUACACACAGGAGAUCCGGAGUUCGAUUCUCCGCGGGCCCA
rnacentral:tRNA from 1 species